ACACUCCUGCGGGAGGCAGCAGUGGGGAAUAUUGCACAAUGGGCGCAAGCCUGAUGCAGCCAUGCCGCGUGUAUGAAGAAGGCCUUCGGGUUGUAAAGUACUUUCAGCGGGGAGGAAGGCGAUAAGGUUAAUAACCUUGUUGAUUGACGUUACCCGCAGAAGAAGCACCGGCUAACUCCGUGCCAGCAGCCGCGGUAAUACGGAGGGUGCAAGCGUUAAUCGGAAUUACUGGGCGUAAAGCGCACGCAGGCGGUCUGUCAAGUCGGAUGUGAAAUCCCCGGGCUCAACCUGGGAACUGCAUUCGAAACUGGCAGGCUAGAGUCUUGUAGAGGGGGGUAGAAUUCCAGGUGUAGCGGUGAAAUGCGUAGAGAUCUGGAGGAAUACCGGUGGCGAAGGCGGCCCCCUGGACAAAGACUGACGCUCAGGUGCGAAAGCGUGGGGAGCAAACAGGAUUAGAUACCCCGGUAGUCCCA
rnacentral:rRNA from 1 species